rnacentral:rRNA from 1 species
AUGAAGAAGAACCCGCCGAGCAUCGAGAUCGUCCAGCACCGGGUCGGCGGCGGCCUGGGCAGCGGGGGCGGCGGCUCCAUAUCCUUCUCCGAGCCGUGGCGGGAGAUGACGCCGGGCAGCGGCAGCGGCCACGGCAGCUCGGGCCGGGGCGGCGGCCGGGAGCCUCCCGAGAAGCGCCUCACGCUCUUCGCGCUCCGGCUCGCCGUCCUCGAGAAGGCGGCCAGCGGGCUCGGCAAGCUCGACUUCGCGUGGGCCACCGUCGUGCUGCUCGGCGGCUUCGCCAGCGACCUCAAAAUCACCGACUUCUGGUGCAUCACCGUCAUCCUCGUCAGCGAGGCGGCGCGCGUCUUCAGCCGCAGCCACGAGCUGGAGUGGCAGCACCACGCCACCCUCACCUCCACGGCCGGCAACGCGCUGCGCUCCAGCUCGCGCUUCUUCCGCCGCCUCGCGCACGCCAUCGCCGAGCCGCAGACGGCCGCGGCGCUCGGGGACGGCGGCAGCGGCGGCGGCGACGCGCGCGCCAGGGCGGCGCUCUUCCAGCGCCAGAUCGUGGCCCUGAUGAAGCAGCGCACCUGGCACGCCCCCGACGUGCCGCUGCUCCCCUACACCGGCUGGGUCUUCGUGUCCAAGAAGAUCGGCAGGCUGCUCAACUGGCUGCAGGUGCUCUCGGCGCUCGCCUGCGUCGCGCUCUCGGUGACGCGGCUCUGGAAUAACCAGGAUUUCGACGAGGCCAAGAACAUGCGGCCGGCGCUGCUGCUCUUCUACGCCCUGGCGCUGCUGGAGGCGUCGCUCUUCCUGCUGGAGAAGGCCUACUGGACGUGGAAGAUGUCCGUCUGCAGGCUGCUCGACCAGGUGAGCGCCGAGUGCGAGCUCGGCCCCUACGGCCUCGUCUCCCUCAAGCGCUUCUUCUACGACGCCUACUCGCAGUGCAUCGACGGCAGCAUCUUCGACGGCAUCAAGAUGGACCUCGUCACCUUCGCCGAGGACCUCAUCCUCUCCGACUUCCUCGACGAGCAGCUCAUCGGCGUCCGCAUCCUGCAGCAGCUGACCACCAGCAAGGGCUCCGCGCGCGACACGCUGCGCAAGCUCGGCACCAACCCGCGCUCCAUUGAGCGCGCCGUCGAGAUGCUCAACUGGAAGCGCCACGAGGAGGAGGAGGUGCGCAAGUGCGCGGCCGAGGUCGUGUCCAAGCUCGCCGGCAAGCGCCAGAACGCGCUCCGCGUGUCUGGAAUCCCCGGCGCCAUCGAGUCCGUCAUGUCCUUGCUCUACACCGGCCGCGGCCCACCGACGUCCGUGGACCACCCGCUGGGGGCCGUCGCCGCGGCCGCCGUGCCAGACCGGAUGUACGACUAUCUGCAGUACAACCUUCUGGGCCUGCACAUACUCAAGAAGCUUGCGAGGGACCAUGACAACUGCGGCAAGAUCGGCAACGCGCGCGGCCUGCUCGCCAAGAUUGUGGAGUUCACGCACGUGUCGCCGACUCUGCUCCUCAACCCGAGCGCCUCGGACUCUCAGGUGCGCUCCGUGAAGCGCGCGCUCCAGGUGAUCAAGAUGCUCGUGUACACGACGGGGGCGACGGGCAAGGCGCUCCGGCGAGACGUCGCCGAGAACGUGUUCACGGUGAGCAACCUCCGUGGCGUCCUGCAGCACGGCCACCAGCGCAUGGAGCUGCAGAAGCUGGCCAUGGACGUCCUCACCGGAAUGGCCAUGGACGAGAGGGCCAAGGAGACGAUCGUCGGCACCGGGGGCGUAGUCAAGCUGCUACUGUCGAUAUUCUUCAACGCCGGCGAGUGCGAGCUCGGGAACGAGGCCGGCGAGGCGCUGGCGAUGCUCGCCUUGGAGAGCGAGGCGAGCUGCGCCGCCAUCCUCAAGAGGGCCGACGUGCUCGAUCAGCUGGCCUCCGCGUUGGACGCCCACGACGCUCGAUGCCUCAACGCCAUGAGGGUCCUGCGCAACCUCUGCGCCUACUCGGGAGAGGAGCAUCGAACGCGCCUGAGCGAGGUGACCAAGGCCAUGCCCACGGUGCUGGGAGCCACCAUGACAGGACGAGACAAGAUCCUGGAAGUGUCCGUGGGACUGACGACACAGAUCUGCAGGUUCAUCGACGUCGACCAAUUCACCGCCGAGCUGCGCCGGGCCGGCCUGGACGAGCGCGCGUACGUCGAGCGGCUGGUCGGCAUCCUGCGGCAAUACAGGCACCCGGAGAUCAGAGUGCCACGGAUGCGGCGGUUCGUGGUGCAGCAGAUUGUCUGGCUCAUUACGACGAGCUCACGUCGAGGCGGCGGCGGCGGCGGCUUUGUGGAGUUGCUCCGGGAGCUCGGGAUGGAGCGGCUGCUCGAGGCCAUCGCCGAGACGACGUCAGAGGUGGAGUGCUACCACGUCUUCUCUGGCAGCGUCCCCAUCGGCAAGCACCGCGAGAACUUCUCUGCCAUCGUGGACACCGCGCUCCAGCUGCUCGCCGCCGGAGACGCUGCUGGUGCCGGGGGAGGAGAAAGCGUCAGCUGA